rnacentral:rRNA from 1 species
GACGAACGCUGGCGGCGUGCUUAACACAUGCAAGUCGAACGGAAAGGCCUGCUUUCCCUUGUGGAUUGCGGGUACUCGAGUGGCGAACGGGUGAGUAACACGUGAGUGAUCUGCCCCCAACUUGGGUAUAAGCCUGGGAAACUGGGUCUAAUUCCCGAUAGGUCUGUAGGGUGGUGCCUGUGGUGGAAAACGAUUUUCUAGUGGUUGGGGAUGAGCUCGCGGCCUAUCAGCUUGUUGGUGGGGUAAUGGCCUACCAAGGCGGCGACGGGUAGCCGGCCUGGGGGGGUGGACGGCAAAAUUGGGACUGAGAUACGGCCCAGACUCCUACGGGAGGCAGCAGUGGGGAAUAUUGCACAAUGGGCGGAAGCCUGAUGCAGCGACGCCGCGUGGGGGAUGACGGCCUUCGGGUUGUAAACUCCUUUCGACCGCGAGGAAGCCACCUGGUUGGAAGGGUGGUGACGGUAGUGGUAGAAGAAGCACCGGCUAACUACGUG